UAUAUACUACACAAGUUUUUAUAUUGUAUGAUAUACCCACCUCUUUUAAGAAUAAUGUUUUAUGACUUUAUUAUAUCGUACAUAUUUGUCAGUGGUGGGUCUGGCGAGGGGGCUGAACUGUUCACUGUGAGGGGGGGGGGGGCUAGAGCCCAACCUUGUCACCCCUUGGCAACGUGCCUAAAAAUAAUCCCGUGUGUACAAUACAUAUUAUAUAUAAAUAAAUACAUAUUAUAGGUAUUAUAUAUAGAUAGAAGAUAAGUACAACUCGUUUUAUGACCGAUAAAACCGCCUUAUACAUGUAAGUGGUACUCGAAAAAAUAAGUACAACAAUCUAUUACUACGUAAACAAGAUAACAUAAUGUAGUAAAUAUCAAGGUGAGUAUAUAUGAAAACAAAUUAAAUGUGUACUUAACAUUUUGGUAUAUUUUUUCUUCAGUCUAGCAAGACGGCAAUUUAUUAGACACCACUCGCAGUCACUGCACGAGGCACAAACGCGAUACACUACACUGUCAUAUAAUAUAUAGUCGGUACUAUAGCCCGUGUGCACUGUGCAUCAAGAUUCCACAUCAGAUAGGUAUUAUAUAUAGAUAGAAGAUAAGUACAACUCGUUUUAUGACCGAUAAAACCACCUUAUAUACGUAAGUGGUACUCGAAAAAAUAAGUACAACAAUCUAUUACUUCGUAAACAAGAUAACAUAAUGUGGUAAAUAUCAAGGUGAGUAUAUAUGAAAACAAAUUAAAUGUGUACUUAACAUUUUGGUAUAAUUUUUCUUCAGUCUAGCAAGACGGCAAUUUAUUAGACAACCUCUCGCAGUCACUCCACGAGGCAUAAACGCGAUACACUACACUGUAAUAAUAUAGUCGGUACUAUAGCCCGAGUGCACUGUGCAUCAAGAUUCGACAUCAGUUAGAUUUUUUCUUCAGUCUAGUAAUAUAGCAAGUAGAGAUCAUCCAGUAUCACUUCCCAAGGUCCAGACUCCACAUUGCCACAGUCGUCAUUCAGUACUAUACCUAUUACCUAUAUAAUAAUAUUAUAGUCCAUGUGAACUGUGCAUCGAAAUUCGACAUCAGUAAGAUUUAGGAAUUUUAUAAUUUACUAGUUACUGUACUGAUUUGAAUUCAACCACAAUAAAUAUAAAAUAGGGUAAAAAAAUACAUAUUCUAAAAAUUGAUUAAAUUCAAUAAUAUUUGCUAUUUGCUUAGACGCCCAUGGUCGAUCAUACAUUAUGUACCUAUACCGGGGUCGGGCGUCUAUAUAGACACAUCGUAAUAUGUUAAUAACAAUAAAAAUAUAGGUACUUACUUUUGAAAAAAUAAAAUGAAUGAAAAAUGAAAGCGCCAAGUUUGUAUUUUAAAUCUAAUGUACAAUCAAUAUCCUGAUCUCCUCUCCGACGUAAGUCUUCGAAUCCCUUCCUUCUUCUCCAGAAAGCACUCCCUCUUUUCAAGUACCAACCCACAACACAUCCUAUGGACACAAUCAUCCCUUACAUAUAAUGCUACGUAAGCUAAAUAAUGCUAAUUUUGAUUUUAAUAUUUAAUAAAUGAAUUAGUAAUAAAUGUACUGUGCUAUACUAUAUACACUAUGUUACUAUAUUAUGUUUAUAUUGAGUUUUUUUUUCUAUAUUAUGUUUGGUUUUACUGUGUGUUAUAAACAUUUACUACAUAUUAAUUUUAAAUGUAAUCAUAAAAGUGCCGAUUGGCGUUUAUCUAUAAAACAAAUAAAUAAAUAAAUAUAUUGGAAUUUUUUUUAGUCUCAUAUGGUAAUACAUUUUUAUUGUGUCACUGAAGAUAAGGUGCUGUGGGCACUGUAGUUAUAAACAUAACUAUACCAAAAAAGUCAUAUUAUAAAGAAAAAUAAAUUACACAUAUACAUAAACUAAAUAAUUGAAUCUGGUAUAGGUACCUGUAAUAUUAUUGUCUGGUAACAAUUUUAACAUGGUAGGUAUGUAAAAGUUUUAGAGUUAAACAUUUAAAAGCUGAAAAUACACGCCUGAUAUAAGCAUACAAUCUAGAAUCUAGGAACAUUGAAUAUCAUUAUGAAUAUUAUUCAUUUCCACAAUUUUUUAUAUUUAUAAUAAAUUAGUAAUUGCCAUGGUUGGGGUCUUAUAGCAUUUGCAUAUUUCUUAUGAGAA